rnacentral:rRNA from 1 species
ACGUAUGGUGCAAGCGUUAUCCGGAUUUACUGGGUGUAAAGGGAGCGCAGACGGCUGUGUAAGUCUGAAGUGAAAGCCCGGGGCUCAACUCCGGGACUGCUUUGGAAACUAUGCAGCUAGAGUGUCGGAGAGGUAAGUGGAAUUCCCAGUGUAGCGGUGAAAUGCGUAGAUAUUGGGAGGAACACCAGUGGCGAAGGCGGCUUACUGGACGAUGACUGACGUUGAGGCUCGAAAGCGUGGGGAGCAAACAG